GCUGGGUGUGGUGGCGUGCACCUGUAAUCCCAGUUACUCAGGAGGCUGAGGCAGGAGAAUCACUUGAACCUGGGAGGCAAAGGUUGCAGUGAGCCGAAAUCAUGCCACUGCACUCCAGCCUGGGUGACAGAGUGAGACUCUGUCUCAA
rnacentral:SRP_RNA from 1 species